GGGGGCGGGAAGGAGUCACCAGUGUGGUCUGAGGCUGGGCUGCAGGAGGCAGCGCGUUCAAUCUCCCAGCCCCAGUGGCAGUGGGAAGGGGGGUGGGGGUGAAGGGAAGGACGUGGGAGGACACAAUCGCUGUCACCGCAGCUGAGGGGGAGGGGGGUACAAAGCCCCAGGAACACGGAAUUCCCGUGGGCUGGGGUGGUUGUUUUUUCUACGGGAGAGGGCAGUGACUGUGCCUCCCAAAGGACAGUAUGAGGAGCUGACCUUUCCAUUUCAGACCCUGGGCACCUCGCUCUCUCGCGCUCCGAAGGGCCCCGAGUCCGCUUUCUCGGGGGCGGAGGAGCCGCAGCGCGCUGGCAGCGAGCCAGGGCGCAGCCGGCUACCUUACUAUAUAAAUGCACCAGACACAGAAUAAAUGGAGUCACAAAGAGCCAGACAUGAAUGAACAAUAACAACAGAGUGGAAUGGGAUGCUUUGGGAAAGAGUGACUUUCUCAUCUUCAUAGUGGUCUCUAAGGAGAGACUGGAUGACUACUUGUCAGGCGCGUGAAACAGCAGGACAUGAAGGCAGAGUGGGAAGUGGACAAAAGCUCACUGGAAGGAGGCCAUCUCUUACACUUCGCAGACUGCCACAGUUGCAAAGGAACAUUCUCCAUGGAGCCUUCCUAUAUAAUUUAGGUGGUGACCUGAGAAGGAAAAUAGAGGCUAGAGGAAUACGGAUGUGAGAUAGAUAAGGCAGUCAGAGCAAGAAACGCAGGACUAAAGACUCAAAGACCACAAGUUAAAACACAUGGGGAGUUGUGAGCUCCUCUGUUGAUACCUCUCUGGAAGAAGAUAACGAGUGGAGAAAUUAGAAGUAUGAGAAACAAGAGAACCUGCAUGGAGCAGAAGACUCCAGGAUAUCCCCCAUAGACCAGGUGGUCAAGAGAUUAAUGGGAGAUGUGCGGGGCAGCUGUGCUGUGUAAGUCAGUCAAACAUGAGGCAAGACCAAGAUCAAGAUUGUAAGAUGCAAGGGAGAGAGUAAGGACUGUGAGAUCAAGAGGUGUGAGAGAGGAGAGGAGAAGAAGCUCACACAUGUUCCCUAGCUUUUACUGGGGUCCUUAGGAAUGUCAAGUUAGAGGUGAUUAAUGAAUAUAUGACAUGAUAUAGGUUUUGACAUUGGUUGAAUUGACAAUGAUGGAAUCAAAUAGGAGAUUAAUCCAACCCGGGCUUUGUAAGGGAAUGUAGUCCGAGCCAGGACACUGUGGCUGUCAAUGCCCAGCAGAGGAAUUUGCUUGUCCUUUGCACUAGUCCUUUGGAUUGUCCCUUUCCAUACAAUGAACAUUAAGUGAUCUGACCAUGUGUCUGGUAAAUGAAUAUACAGGAUACAAUAUCAAUGCAUCAAUCAUACUUCCAAGAUGCCAAGAUGCCUAGUAUGCUACACUUCCCCAUUUACUUUGGUCUCUAGUGAUUCUCCCCUUCCUCAUAAUCCAGAGUAUUUGUCACUGAUAAUCAUUAAGGGAUGUGAUCACUUUCUAUAUCUUGGUGCUCUCUAAUUAUUUCAUACAUGUAAGUCUUGCUUUCACUGUUAGUUUGUCCCUUAGGGUCAUAGACCUCAUCUUACAUUUCUUUGUUUCCCUCCACUCCAUAAUAAUUGCUCAGUUGUUUCAAUAAAUUUAUUCAUCUAAUAGGGACA
rnacentral:lncRNA from 1 species